rnacentral:rRNA from 1 species
GGUUCAGGAUGAACGCUAGCGACAGGCUAACACAUGCAAGUCGAGGGGCAGCAUAAAAGUAGCAAUACUUGGUGGCGACCGGCGCACGGGUGAGUAACGCGUAUGCAACCUACCUAUCAGAGGGGAAUAACCCGGCGAAAGUCGGACUAAUACCGCAUAAAACAGGGGCACCGCAUGGUGAUAUUUGUUAAAGAAAUUCGCUGAUAGAUGGGCAUGCGUUCCAUUAGGUAGUUGGUGAGGUAACGGCUCACCAAGCCGACGAUGGAUAGGGGAACUGAGAGGUUGGUCCCCCACACUGGUACUGAGACACGGACCAGACUCCUACGGGAGGCAGCAGUGAGGAAUAUUGGUCAAUGGGCGGGAGCCUGAACCAGCCAAGUCGCCGUGAAGGAAGAAGGAUCUAUGGUUCGUAAACUUCUUUUGCAGGGGAAUAAAGUGCAGGACGUGUCCUGUUUUGUAUGUACCCUGAGAAUAAGGAUCGGCUAACUCCGUGCCAGCCGCGGC